AUGGAGGAACCCAGCUGACACACCAAGACGAAUCUCUGUGUCUAGGGAAUCUUGGGGUUCAGCUCCUUUUACUUCAAGAGAGCCUGAACUAAAUUAGUGCAAUUUUUAAAGCAUGGCCUGAAUGAUUCAGUGAUUAUCAAGUCAAACUACAAAUGUAAACGGCUGCUACCACUGCCAACUAGGUCAAGGAGACUCUCCAAGGUGCCUAACUGGCGGCUGUCACCACCUGACUUGGUUUUGUUUGGCUACUUUGCUCUCCUGUGCAGUGUUACGAGCCUGCCUAAUGAGGCAAGUGCUGUGCUCUA